ACUCAUUUAGCUCAGUUGGUAGAGAGCAAGGCUCAUAAACUUGUGGUUGUGGGUUCGAGCCCCACGUUGGAUG
rnacentral:tRNA from 1 species